GACGUAGGAGGCGAGCGUUGUCCGGAUUCAUUGGGCGUAAAGAGCGCGCAGGCGGCUUGGUAAGUCGGAUGUGAAAUCCCGAGGCUCAACCUCGGGUCUGCAUCCGAUACUGCCCGGCUAGAGGUAGGUAGGGGAGAUUGGAAUUCCUGGUGUAGCGGUGAAAUGCGCAGAUAUCAGGAGGAACACCGGUGGCGAAGGCGGCACACUGGGCAUCUCCUGACGCUGAGGCGCGAAAGCGUGGGGAGCAAACGGG
rnacentral:rRNA from 1 species